rnacentral:rRNA from 1 species
GGUGUUGCAUGGCUGUCGUCAGCUCGUGCCGUGAGAUGUUGGGUUAAGUCCCGCAACGAGCGCAACCCUCAUCCUUAGUUACCAUCAGGUAAUGCUGGGGACUUUAAGGAAACUGCCAGUGAUAAACUGGAGGAAGGUGGGGAUGAUGUCAAGUCAUCAUGGCCCUUAUGGAGUGGGCUACACACGUGCUACAAUGGUGGCUACAAUGGGCUGCAAAGUCGCGAGGCUAAGCUAAUCCNNNNNAAGCCAUCUCAGUUCGGAUUGUACUCUGCAACUCGAGUGCAUGAAGGUGGAAUCGCUAGUAAUCGCGGAUCAGCAUGCCGCGGUGAAUACGUUCCCGGGUCUUGUACACAC